CAGUUAAUACGCAUUAAACAAUAUAUUUUUAAAAACUAUGAUUAAUAUAAGCACUUUUAUAAAUACACAUAUACAUUUACAUGAACAAGACAAAAUAUGCCUAAAUUUAAUUAUUUAAAAGGUAUAAUUUAUAAUAAAAAAUAAAAGGGAAAUUCUGCUUUAACCUUAUUUUUGGUACUACUAUUCAUGUUUCCUUCAUUAGAGGGACAAUUUCACAAAUACAUAAAGUAUGACAUUUCAUUGAAGAGGCGAAGACCUUACUACCCUUACUUUUUUUAAUUUAUAUAAAUAUAAAUAAAUAUUUCAAUAAAACUAUAUUUUAUAUUUUUAGAAUUAUAUGUUUUUAAAUUCAAACCUUCUUAUAAAAAAGUCUCAAAUUUGUUUUUCCGAUCUUUUUCGAAUAUUUAUUUUAAAAUUCAUAAUUAUGUAUUUAAAAAGAAAUUGAACCCCUUCCUCCAAAAACCCACGCCACAAAUCUAAACCCUAAGUCUAGAUUAGUUAUUCCUAAAGAUAUAAGUGUCUAUUUACUUAUUUAAAACUAAAGGUAAAUGCGAUUAAAGUAAAUAUGAAAAUAGUAUUAAAAUGUGGUAGUUUAAGCAAUUUCUCAAAAUAAUAAAUCAUAUGUAAAUAAACCAUAUACAUGUUAUUUUGAAAUUAUUAUGAAAUUAUUCUUAUUAUUAAAAUAAAAUACUGCUAUGCGCGAGUUGAAAAUCUAGUUUAUUUAUUUAUACUAAUAAAAAUGACAUUUUGAAUCUCCAUAAAGCGUCCACCUCUGUGAAAAUACUUCUCUCAAAAGAUGCCACGUGACAUUACAAUAUAAGAAAAAAUAAAUAAUAAGUUUAUAUACAAUAUAAGAAAAAUAGAAAAUAAGUCUAUAUACAAUAUAAGAAAAACAGAAAAUAAGUAAAUAUACUAUAUAAGAAAUAGAAAUAUUACAUUUAACAUCUAUCUUAAUAUUACCAUUUAAUAUAAAAAUAAAUAAAUACUAAGUAAAUAUACAAGAUACUAAAAAGAAACAACAAACCUCGAGCAUGCCAACUCCGACUGUUCCACUUCGUCUUGACGGUUUCGGUUCUCAUGAGUAAUCGAUGUUAACGCAACCAUUCAAUGAUGUCUUUACUCCUUCUUUGAUGGUUGAUUCUCCUCUUAUAUAAAUUGUUUAGUUAAAACCUAAAUCCCACCAAAUUUGAGAAAAACCCCACUGAAGAAGCUAAAGCUAUGGCAAGUCACAACAGAGAAUCUAAGAUGUCCUGAAAAAAAAUGAAACAACAAAGAGAAUGCCUUUCCUUAAGCUUAUGGCGGGAUGGUGAGUCGUUAUAAGGUUCUAAAUUCACUCUAGGAAGUAACUGGCGACAUCGAUUUUAGGCUCUUGGUCGGGUAAAUAUUAUCCUCAAAUCAGAACACAAGGUUCAUUCUUCCCCAAUCCUCAAAUUAUUUUUAUCAGAAAAAGCAGGUUGAAGAUCGACAACAAAACGAGUUUGCAGUUCCCAAGGUUGUUGAAUCCACGCAAAUCUCAAGGAUGCAUCAGCUAGAACAAAGGCUUAUGGGAAACAAAAGGCUUAUGGAUAUAGAAGCAUGUGGGAGUAUGCAUGCUUGUGACUUGUGAGUAUAUUUCAGUUGCUUCCUUUCGUUCCGACUACUGGACUGUGAAUUAUGUUUAACUUUGUUGUUUCUAUGUCUCUAAAAUGGACUUACUUUUGAUAUAGAUGUACAAUGCAUUUUUCCUAUUAUUAUCUAAAUUUGAGUUUGUAUAUAUCACAAUGAAAUGAGGAUGGUGGAUGAAAGUGCAGAGUAUGAAAUACUUGAUACGUUCUAACAUGAAAUUGAUACAUUGUAGUUUUGUCCAUACAUUAGUUUAUGCCUUAUUUAUAACCUCCAUCUUUUGAAAUUUUUAUUUUUAUUUUUAUUUUUGAGGUUUCUCCUAACUACUAAACUGCUGAUAUAUUGGAGAAACUUUGUAUUAGCAGAUGAUUAAGCUGGACACCUUCUUAUCAUGUGCUUGCAGGAAGAAGGGACGGCAGGCAUUAAAUGCAGACACUGUGGUUCAUUGCGACAUAGACGUUAUGUACAUGACUUCUCUUCUAGGUAACUUAUUAUUUUCUCCCUUUAUACACAUGCUUCUUUCAUCAUUUUUCCAAGGGAAACUGAUGGUUUAUUCCGCACUUUUCAUUACAUUCGAAUUUAUAGUUAAUUACCUUUUCUAAAUCAAUCCACAACCAUAAGUAUCUAAAGUAAAAUUCAUUUGCCAAUUGUGCAUGUACACACCAAAUAUUGAAGUUUAAUUUGUUUGUGUUCUUGCAGGAACACUGUCUUAUCAUGUGCUUGCAGGAAGAACGGACGGCGGGCAUUAAAUGCAGACACUGUGGUUCAUUGCGACAUAGAUGUUAUGUACAUGACUUCUCUUUUAGGUAACUUAUUCUUUUCCCCCUUUAUACACAUGCUUCUUUCAUCAUUUUUCCAAGGGAAACUGAUGGUUUAUUCUGCACUUUUCAUUACAUUCGGAUUUAUAGAUAAUUACCUUUUCUAAAUCAAUCCACAACCAUAAGUAUCUAAAGUAAAAUUCAUUUGCCAAUUGUGCAUGUACACACCAAAUAUUGAAGGUUAAUGUGUUUGUGUUCGGGCAUUUUCAUUCAGUUUUGUAAAAUAUUUUAAGAAAUCUUAAAGAAUUAAAAUUUCAAUAGUGUUAACUUCUUUGAACUUUAUUCACAUGUAAAAGCAAACACAUAAGUUGCAAAUGAAACAAUUUAAAUCUAAGACUAUACUUUAAUAAUUAUAUACACUGUAAAAUACCCAAAGUUUGUUUUAUGUUUGGGAAAAAUACCUCACUCUAUAAACAUGUGUAAAGACUCAAAAGGUACAUGAAGAUUACAAAUAAUGUAAUUACUUCUCAUUAUAAGCAACAAGACACGGAUUCACAGCCUACUUAUACUAACUUGGUCUAACUUUACGUUCUCUAGGGUGAAUAAAAAGUUAUAAUUAUGCUAUUGAUACUUGAACAGGAGGAACAAGAGUGCUAUAAAUUGAUCUAUUGUGGUUCAGAGUAUAACAGUUUUAGAUUCGCCUGUGGAAUUUUAUAAAUGACUGGAAACUGUCCACAUUUUGACACUGGUCAACGAGAAGAUGGAAAUGAUGACCCUUGGGGUAGUGGUGGAUGGGAGCUUUAUGUUGCUGAGACAAGAGAGCCAGAAAAUGAUUUAAAAAAUAAGGUACAUGCUUCAGUUUAAUAAACAUAGUCCUUGCAUUGGCUUAUAGAACAAGCUUUAAUUUUUGUGUGGUUACAUAAAUCUAACGGCUAGGGGUCGGGUUUGGUUUUCAACAUUUCUUAUCCAUUAAACCUUGAGAACGGUCCGCAAAAGAAGACAAAUGGAUCCAUUAUCUUACAAGCAAUGCAAAUGUGAAUUCUGGAGGAGCUUUUUGGGUUUUUAAUCAGCCAUCUUUGGAAACUAGAAACAAGAAAGAGGUAUAUUACCAUCUGUUUAGUGAAUAUGGAUUGCAUAUGGGUUUCACAAGUAUUAUCCUACUGCCAUUUGAAAUGAAGAGUUUUGACUUUUGAUAAAUAUUCGGGAGUUCGUUUAGUAUGUGAUGUGUAUAUACUAAAUGUAUUUUGUUUGACUAUCCUUUACCUGCUAUUGGUUUCUUAAUUACAUCUUACUGAAAGCAUUCAUAUGCACAUUUAAAGUCAGCGUUAUCUUUAUUUUUUAGUCAGUGUUAUCUUACGCAAAGUUGAAGCCUAUAUAUUCACUAGUACGUUUGUUAGACUAAUAGAAGUGCCUUUUGGUAUUAUUUAUUUUGCAUUCAGAUAGAGGAAGUUGAGACAGACCAAAAGGAGUCGUAUCACUGUUCAUUCCAGAGGAUGAGAAUUUUAAAACCUCUGCCACUUCGGUUCAUGAGGAUACUCUUGAAUUGAACGUGGUGAUAGAUUCCAUUAUUUCAAUCUGGAUAUUAGGAAUUUAAUUUUACACAUGCGGAAGACCGUAAUCCAACCACUGGCCUAGACAUCAUUCAUUGUAUGGAUUUAUAAAUUGUACAGAGCAAUCAACCAACACUUUUAUUAUUUAGUUUGCUUAGCUAAAAACUUUGAAUAUGAUCUCUAGAAUAUGCCUUUAUAUGUUGUUCUUUUGUUUCAUGGCUUCCCUUCUUGAAUGUGCAUUCAAUUAAACAUAUUAACUUA